UCCAAGUUAGCGAGGUCACGCAAC
rnacentral:siRNA from 1 species